rnacentral:lncRNA from 1 species
ACAAAAACAGCAACAACAAUAAUAAUAAUAACAACAACAAGAACAAAAGGAUCAACAAGAAGAAGAAUAACAAUAAGAAGAACAACAACAAGAACAAUAGAAACAACAACCACAACAAGAAUAACAACAACAAGAAGAACAACUAGAACAAUAUGAACAACAAGUAGAAGAAUAACAACAAAAACAAAAACAAAAACAACAACAACAACAACAAUAAAAAACAACAACAAUAUUAAUAACAAUAACAACAAUAUCAACAAUAACAACAACAACAACAUCAACAACAAUAACAACAACA